AAGUAGAAAAAGUGGACUCAUAUCUUUAGGAAAAGGGCUGGCUAUGAGGGCUGCGUGCAUAGCGCCAGUGUGUCUUUCGUCAGUCGGAGCUGUGCGAUUCCGUUCGCGGAUAGCGGCGCCUCUGUGGACUGCCGGCAUUGACUGCAUCAUGACCCCUGGUGUGCGUGCACAGUGAACAGCUAAUGCAGAGCUGGAGCGGACAAGGGUAAUCCGACUUUUAAUUAAAGCAGAGCGGUGCGAUGGCCGUAAAUGGUGUUGACGCAAUUUGUUUUCUGCCCGUUGCUCUGGAUGCCAAUAUGAUUAAAUUCGACCAGGCGCGGGUUAACGGCGGACGUGACGUUCUUGAGGUAGCCAAAUGCUUCGUCAUAUAAUUCAUGACUUGCAUGAAUGGAUUAACGAAAUUCUCAAGA
rnacentral:ncRNA from 1 species